rnacentral:rRNA from 1 species
AGAGUUUGAUCCUGGCUCAGGAUGAACGCUAGCUACAGGCUUAACACAUGCAAGUCGAGGGGAAACGACAUCGAAAGCUUGCUUUUGAUGGGCGUCGACCGGCGCACGGGUGAGUAACGCGUAUCCAACCUGCCCACCACUUGGGGAUAACCUUGCGAAAGUAAGACUAAUACCCAAUGACGUCUCUAGAAGACAUCUGAAAGAGAUUAAAGAUUAUCGGUGAUGGAUGGGGAUGCGUCUGAUUAGCUUGGUUGGCGGGGUAACGGCCACCAAGGCGACGAUCAGGUAGGGGUUCUGGAGGAGGAACGGUCCCCCGANAGUUAGGAACUGGACGACAACCGGUACCAAACCUCCCGUAACGGGGACGGCA